GUGAUGUGUCACACACUUUCCACUCUGAUGCAUGAGUAAGGAAGAAUGCAAAGAUUGGUGGCAAAGUGUGGUUAGGUGGAUCAAUAAACCACAGGAUGUUUUGGAUUCUGGAGCUGUAAGGAACAGUGGGAGGCAUUGGAAAGUGUGUAUUCACCAGCACCUGGGGACUGCUCCCAUGCCCGAAUGCAGGUAUGAAACUAAGUAGGAAAUGGUAGCAGGAAGCCUCAAAUUGAAUUGGCAAUGACACAGAAAAAAGUAGGGAAAAACAGGAAAUGGGACCCCAGCACAUCCUUAAACUUGAUGUGCAGCAAAUGUUUGUCUGUGGAGGCUUUGUCCUUUACUGUGUGGGAUGCCCUAAAGCAUGACAUUCUUUCCCACUUGCUGUGUUCCUAGAUUGUUGAUGUUCUAAUUUUGAACAGAUGUCUCUAGUAAGUAAAUGGUGAUUCAGUUUUUCAUUGGCCAAGUUCAUGUUCCAGCUGUAGACAGGAGGACACACAUUGGUUCCUGUGAAGGCAUCAGAGCUCAGUCUGUGACUCAUGGCAGACGGUGGCCAAUGCUCAGGGUCAAUAACUGUAGCAAUUGUAUUCCCUGAAAGUUACCAGCCAUUCCAAGGAGGGAAAACCAUGCUGGGGUGGUGCUGGGGUGGUCUUUGGCUUUGUGAGACGUCACUGAUUCCAAAGAGCAUUCACACCUGCCAGCCUUUGCUACUGCUGUCAAUGCUCAGGGGAUCAGUGCCCUUCCCUGGCUCAGCGCCCAGUGCCAACAGAACACCUUGCAGGAUCCUCAGCAGCGCAGACAACGUAAGUAGCCAGCUGUCCCCUGAUGCCCUUGUCCAGAAGCCUGCGCACCCUGCGGACCCCGUGGAGCGCCCACACGCCUCCUUCCCUCGCUCGCCCUCCGAGUGCCACCUGGGCUUCACAAGUAGCACCUUCCAAAUCUCUCUGUCUUCAAGUUUGUGCAUGUCUGUGUGGCAUCCCUCCUCCUCCUUCACUCCCAUAGUGGAUCUCGUGAAGGGCUUCAGAUCGGCCCCAUUCAUCUCCCUGGUGAUAGCAGUGAAUGUAGAUAAAUCUCUGCUGCCUGCUUGCUGCUCCAGUAUGAUUUUUAUUUUGUCUUCCGUGUACACCUAGGUCAAAAAGUGGGAUGUAUAGUGACGGUGGGUGAGUGUGUGUGUGUGUGUGUGUGUGUGUGUGUGUCUCUUCCUCAGUCCCUGUCGUUCUCUUGCACUGAGGCACACAAGCACACAUCUCCCUGCGUGUGUUACACGCGUGCACACACAUAAACACCCGCACACGGACGCGCGCGUGUGUGCACAGAGCACACAGACAUCUCCUCACCCCACUGACACAGCUCCUGUGCACCGACCCCAGGCGGUGUGUGCUGUGUGUCUGUGUGUCUGUACGCACUGUUCCGUGUGCGUGUGCAUACACAGGCAUCUCGCUACACCGUCAAACAUUCUCUCUCCUCCCAGCAGAGGCUGUGUGCAGGCUGAUCCUGCCCUGUGAGAGCGGUAUUCCUUCCUCCCUUCCUUCCCUCGGCUCUUCGGAGACCUUCGCGUUCCCUCCUCGGGGUCCCUCCUGAGCUGCAGAUUUGGCACCUUUCCCUGAGGUUGUCCAAAUGGCAAAUGGCAUCGGCCGGAGUUCACAUUCUUGCAUCUUCUCUGGGCAUUUCUCCCUCCAUGUCGACUACUCCCUUUUGUUUGUUGUUGACUGGGCUGGGUGUGGUUGGGGUUUUUUUGGCAUUAAUUGUAAACGAACCUGAAUGGCAAAACACGCCAACAGCUUGCGGGGAAAAAAAAGCCAAAAAAAAAAAGCAAGCCCCACACAAACGCCUUCUGCUGCGACAGAUGCCCAUGUUGCCCCUGGCAUGGAGAGCGGGCACAAGGGGUUUGUUGAUGAGGUUUUUUCGAUUGCUGUGUUUAUUGUUCGCAUUUCCCUUUUCCAUUUAUUUUUAAAGACUCCAAGAUGCCGGCCUCGGCUUGGAACGGAGCGGUGUCAUGGCGGAGACGACGGCCUUUGUCUCGCAGGGUGUGAAAGCAUCCGUUGUGCUGGCUCCACUGCGGCAGAAUGAUGUCUAAAGGGGGGAAAAGUGCUGGAAGUCCGAGUAGUGCGGCGCUGGCGGGGGAGCCCCAUCCCCAUGGUGCGCGUCCGAGGAAGGGCUCUCGGCGGAGGAGCCUGGUCUGUAAUCCUGGCACUUGUGCCUCCGGUCGCUGCCUGCCGCUUGCUCCUGGGGCUCUGGAUAAUCUCCCUUGGCUCUACGGCACUGUCUGGCCCGCGCUCAGGGCCCCCGUAACAUAUACCCGCUGCCGCGAUCGCAGGGAGCUGUGGCGUUGCCACUGAAUGGAUGGCACUGUGCCAACUCCGCUGCCAUCCGCCCUUGCAGCUCUUUUCCUCCCUCCUCCCUCCCGCUCUCCCCUCCUCCUCCUCCUCCCGUCGACUUGAUGUUAAUUAACACACGGGUUAAUUGAUUUUAAAAGCUGAAGAAUUACAGUUAAGUUUUCCCACAGGGUCCGGCCGCCUGGCACGCUGCGCCUGGCGCGGGGGCGGCGGCCGGGCCGGCCCUGCCAGGGCUGCCGGAGCCGGCCGGGCGGCUGGCACCGCUGCCUCGUCCUUCCGACACAUCGCCGCUGCAUUCUGCUGUAAACAGCCGGCACGAGCCCUGCCUCGGCUCUGCCAGGCACCUGCGUGUCAGCAGCAGCGCUGCCGCCGGAGCUGCGGCACGGCAGCCCCGGGCCCUCGGCAGCAUCGGGCGGCGCACGGCCCCGGCCCGGGCACCCCGAGG
ensembl:lncRNA